CGUCUUCUGUAUCCUUGCUGAGAUUUCGUCACACCAGACCAUAAGGGUUGAUAAGACUCCCAAGAUAAGUGAAGCG
rnacentral:pre_miRNA from 1 species